rnacentral:rRNA from 1 species
UACGUAGGGACCGAGCGUUGUCCGGAAUCAUUGGGCGUAAAGAGCGUGUAGGCGGCCCCUUAAGUCCUGCGUGAAAUCCUGCGGCUCAACCGCAGACGGUCGUGGGAAACUGGAGGGCUAGAGUGCGGGAGAGGAGAGUGGAAUUCCCGGUGUAGCGGUGAAAUGCGCAGAUAUCGGGAAGAACACCCGUGGCGAAGGCGGCCCGAGCUGGGCC